CCUACGGGUGGCAGCAGUGGGGAAUAUUGGGCAAUGGAGGCAACUCUGACCCAGCAACGCCGCGUGAAUGAUGAAGGUCUUCGGAUUGUAAAGUUCUUUUCUAAGGGAAGAAGAAAGUGACGGUACCUUAGGAAUAAGCCUCGGCUAACUACGUGCCAGCAGCCGCGGUAAUACGUAGGAGGCAAGCGUUAUCCGGAAUGACUGGGAGUAAAGGUUGCGUAGGUGGUUUGACAAGUUAGUAGCGAAACUCCGGAGCUUAACUUCGGAACUACUGCUAAUACUGUUGGACUUGAGUGCAGGAGGGGCAAUCGGAAUUCCUAGUGUAGCGGUGGAAUGCGUAGAUAUUAGGAGGAACACCAGUGGCGAAGGCGGAUUGCUGGACUGUAACUGACACUGAGGCACGAAAGCGUGGGGAGCAAACAGGAUUAGAUACCCCUGUAGUC
rnacentral:rRNA from 1 species